CGGGUGAGUAAUGUCUGGGAAACUGCCUGAUGGCGGGGGAUAACUACUGGAAACGGUAGCUAAUACCGCAUAAUGUCUACGGACCAAAGCGGGGGACCUCCGGGCCUCGCGCCAUCAGAUGAACCCAUAUGGGAUUAGCUAGUAGGUGAGGUAACGGCUUACCUAGGCGACGAUCCCUAGCUGGUCUGAGAGGAUGAUCAGCCACACUGGGACUGAGACACGGCCCAG
rnacentral:rRNA from 1 species